UGUGGUUAAUUUUUUUUCUAUUCUUUUUUAACGCAUUUUUUGGGAUGGAAAGCAAAAAAAUGUGGUUAAAUUUUUUUUCUAUUUUUUUUCACUCAUUUUUUGGGGUGGAAAGCAAAGAAUGUGGUUAAUUUUUUUUCUAUUCUUUUUUAACGCAUUUUUUGGGGUGGAAAGCAAAAAAUGUGGUUAAUUUUUUUUCUAUUCUUUUUUAACGCAUUUUUUGGGGUGGAAAGCAAAGAAUGUGGUUAGAUCAUUCUUUUUUUUUCUCUGUUAUGUGACCUAAGAAAAAACUGUGGGCAUAUUUUUCUUUAAUUCAUUUUUUGGGUAGCAAGCAAAAACUGUGAUCACAUAAUUAUCUUUUUUUUCUAUUCUUUUCUAACUCAUUUUUUGGGAUGGUAAGCAAAAAUGUGGUUAGAUAAUUAAUGAUAUUUUUCUUUUUAACUAAUUUUUUGGGUAGCAGCAAAAACUGUGGUCACAUAAUUUUUUUUUCAAGUAGUUUUGUGAGCUAAGAAAAUAAGUGGGUGCUAUUUUUUUGCAUUUUUGGGGAUAUAAGCAAAAAAUCUGAUUGUUAAGUUCCUUCUCAGUUGUUCUAGUAGAUAAAAUAAAUCAGUUAGGGAUAUUUAUUUAUUUAUUUAUUUAUUUUUUUUUUUUUGAUAUGUAAAAUGAUCUGGUUGUUGCUUUUCUUAAGGGCGCUGAUUUGGGGCGCUGUCUUAGGGUGCUGAUUUGGGGCGCUGUCUUAGGGUGCUGAUUUGGGGUGCUGUCUUAAGGUGCUGAUUUGGGGUUGGUUUUAUUCCCUCUCUGCAGUUUUUAUAGGUUAGCAAAACACAUCAUAAAACUGGUGUUAGUUUUCCUCAAUAAUUUUGGCAGAUAAAAAUAUGGCAAGGUUAUUUUUUCUUAGUUCUUUGGAGAGACAAGAAAAAAGCGAGGUUGUUUAAUCCCUUCUCUGCAGUUUUUGAAGAUAAAGAAAACACAUAAUAAAACUGGUGUUACUUUUCCUUAAGACAAAAAUAUGGCAAGGUUAUUUUUUCUUAGUUCUUUGGAGAGACAAGAAAAAAAGCGUGAAUGUUUUAUUCUUUCUCUGCAGUUUUCGAAGAUAAAGAAAACACAUAAUAAAACUGGUGUUACUUUUCCUUAAGAUAAAAAUAUGGCAAGGUUACUUUUUCUUAGUUCUUUGGAGAGACAAGAAAAAAAGCGAGGUUGUUUAAUCCCUUUCUCUGCAGUUUUCGAAGAUAAAGAAAACACAUAAUAAAACUGGUGUUACUUUUCCUUAAGACAAAAAUAUGACAAGGUUACUUUUUCUUAGUUCUUUGGAGAGACAAGAAAAAAGCGAGGUUGUUUAAUCCCUUCUCUGCAGUUUUCGAAGAUAAGCAAAACACAACAAGACGCUGACGGGGCAA